AAUCACCUCAGCCAAAAAGAGCUAAAACUCAGCCCACACCUAAAGCCACUCCUCAGUCCACUCAUAAGCCCACUCCUCAGCCCACUCCUAAGCCCACUCCUCAGCCCACUCAUAAGGCCACUCCUCAGCCCACAUAAGAAUCUCUUAUUAAGUUAUCCAGAAACUGGGCUCCCUACUGGUCGGGUGAUGCGAAAGAGGAAGUCUACGAAGUUCAAGGAUGGCCUACUAAUAUGGUGGUAGAUUUGGGGAACCAUACUUGCUCCUGCAGGUUUUGGCAGUUGACAGGAAUGCCUUGUAUGCACGCAAUAUCAGCCAUUCAAGAAAAAAAAUGAUAAGAGGCCUGAGGAGUAUUGCCACGAAUGGUUGACCAUGGAGGCGUACAGAAGUACAUACCAAUUCAAUGUUAACCCUGUCAAGGGACAAGAUCUAUGGGAGAAAACUGGUUCUCCUGCACCUGUUCCACCUCCUAUCAAACCUAAACCAGGCAUACCAACAACAAAUAAAAAGAAGGACAAGGAUGAAGGACCCAGUGGCAUGAAGACAAAAAUGAAAAGGAAGUAUGCUCCAAUUCGGUGCAUGUACUGUGGAGAGGUGGGCCACAACAAGAGAACUUGCAGCAAGAAAAAGCAAGACGAUACUCAAGAGAAAGUAAGGCUAAUGCAGUUGCAGCUUGCAGCUGUUCAACCACCACAAUCUGUACCUGGUCCAGAAGCAGAAAAGAAAGAUCACACUCAGCCCAUACAGACACUACCUGCAGUAGCAGCAGCUGCUCCAGAUGAACAGACUGAAAUUCCUGUUACUCAGCAUGCUCAGCUUCCACUGACACAAUAAUCCCAGACCUCAACCAAUGUCACUCAGACUAGAGGUAGAGGAAGGCCUCCAAAACUCCAUAUCACCAAGGCUAGGGCAAAAGGAAAUGCCUCUCUAGGAGCAGUUGCUGUGUCUGCUGAAACCAUCAAGGAUAGCAGCUCCGCAACAGCCAAGAAACUUGCCAGCUUCAUGACAUUUGUUCCAACUCCGGGUUUCAAACCUCCCAGAAAAAAAGACAUGGAAUGACUUCAAGACUUGAAGACAUAAAUUAUAGGGCAAUUAGUAUAUGUUGUUUUGUCAGGGCCAAAUUUUACCAUUUAUAAAUAAUGUGGUAGUUAUGGUAUCUUCAAUAGCCCUGUUUUUUGUAUAGCUCUUUAUGGUAUACUGCUAUUCGACUGUCAACUACUACCUUUUGUGUUAUUAUCAUGUUAAAACAAUGUUGUUAUUUGAAUCUGAGACAAUGGAAACUAGU